UACGUAGGGGGCAAGCGUUGUCCGGAGUUACUGGGCGUAAAGCGCACGCAGGCGGUCUUUUAAGUUUGGAGUGACAGUUGGUGGCUUAACUGCCAAAGUGCUUCGAAAACUGAAAGACUUGAGGGCUUCAGAGGGACGCGGAAUUCCAGGUGUAGCGGUGAAAUGCGUAGAUAUCUGGAGGAACACCGGUGGCGAAGGCGGCGUCCUGGACCAACACUGACACUGAGGAGCGAAAGCCAGGGGAGCAAACGGG
rnacentral:rRNA from 1 species